AUCUUUGUCUCCAUUGGUGUAGUGGUUUUGACAUCGCUGGAUGCCAGCAAAGCUGAGGAUGUUGUGUGUGAUUGCUAUGUGGAAGAGAUGGCAAGUGUGAUGGAGCAAGGCUGUAUCUCAGGACCAUUUUCUGAGGAGAAUCUAGACUGUAAUUCCAUCUAUUAUC
rnacentral:lncRNA from 1 species